rnacentral:rRNA from 1 species
AGCGAACGCUGGCGGCAGGCCUAACACAUGCAAGUCGAACGAACCUUUCGGGGUUAGUGGCGGACGGGUGAGUAACACGUGGGAACGUGCCUUUAGGUUCGGAAUAACUCAGGGAAACUUGUGCUAAUACCGAAUGUGCCCUUCGGGGGAGAGAUUAAUCGCCUUUAGAGCGGCCCGCGUCUGAUUAGCUAGUUGGUUGAGGUAAUGGCUCACCAAGGCGACGAUCAGUAGCUGGUCUGAGAGGAUGAUCAGCCACAUUGGGACUGAGACACGGCCCAAACUCCUACGGGAGGCAGCAGUGGGGAAUCUUGCGCAAUGGGCGAAAGCCUGACGCAGCCAUGCCGCGUGAAUGAUGAAGGUCUUAGGAUUGUAAAAUUCUUUCACCGGGGACGAUAAUGACGGUACCCGGAGAAGAAGCCCCGGCUAACUUCGUG